AACGCUGGCGGCGUGCUUAAUACAUGCAAGUCAACUUGACUUUAGAUAGCAAUAUCGAAAAGUAGGGUGGCGCACGGGUGCGUAACGCGUAGGUAAUCUGCCCUGAGGUCUGACAUAACCCGUCGAAAGGCGGGCUAACAUCAGAUGAUAUAUAAUCACGACAUCGUGGAAAUAUCAAAUCUUCGGAGCCUUGGGAUGAGCCUGCGUCUGAUUAGGUAGUUGGCGGAGUAAUAGCCCACCAAGCCUACGAUCAGUAGCUGGGUCUGAGAGGAUGAUCAGCCACACUGGAACUGAGACACGGUCCAGACUCCUACGGGAGGCAGCAGUAAGGAAUAUUGCUCAAUGGGGGAAACCCUGAAGCAGCAACGCCGCGUGAAGGAUGAAAUACUUUUGCAUGUAAACUUCUGUAAGAUGGGAAAAAUAUUCUCCUCGGGAGAAUUGAUUGUACCAUCAGAGUAAGCCCCGGCUAACUACGUG
rnacentral:rRNA from 1 species